AUUGAACGCUGGCGGCAGGCCUAACACAUGCAAGUCGAGCGGAUGAAGGGAGCUUGCUCCUGGAUUCAGCUGCGGACGGGCGAGUAAUGCAUAGGAAUCUGCCUGGUAGUGGGGGCUAACGUCCGGAAACGGGCGCUAAUACCGCAUACGUCCUGAGGGAGAAAGUGGGGGAUCUUCGGACCUCACGCUAUCAGAUGAGCCUAGGUCGGAUUAGCUAGUUGGUGGGGUAAAGGCCUACCAAGGCGACGAUCCGUAACUGGGCUGAGAGGCUGAUCAGUCACACUGGAACUGAGACACGGUCCAGACUCCUACGGGAGGCAGCAGUGGGGAAUAUUGGACAAUGGGCGAAAGCCUGAUGCAGCCAUGCCGCGUGAGUGAAGAAGGUCUUCGGAUUGUAAAGCACUUUAAGUUGGGAAGAAGAUCAGUAUGUGAAUACGUUGCUGUUUUGACGGUACCAAAAGAAUAAGCACCGGCUAACUUCGUG
rnacentral:rRNA from 1 species